rnacentral:rRNA from 1 species
CGAUUUGGAGGUUGUGCCCUUGAGGCGUGGCUUCCGGAGCUAACGCGUUAAAUCGACCGCCUGGGGAGUACGGCCGCAAGGUUAAAACUCAAAUGAAUUGACGGGGGCCCGCACAAGCGGUGGAGCAUGUGGUUUAAUUCGAUGCAACGCGAAGAACCUUACCUGGUCUUGACAUCCACAGAACUUAGCAGAGAUGCUUUGGUGCCUUCGGGAACUGUGAGACAGGUGCUGCAUGGCUGUCGUCAGCUCGUGUUGUGAAAUGUUGGGUUAAGUCCCGCAACGAGCGCAACCCUUAUCCUUUGUUGCCAGCGGUUAGGCCGGGAACUCAAAGGAGACUGCCAGUGAUAAACUGGAGGAAGGUGGGGAUGACGUCAAGUCAUCAUGGCCCUUACGACCAGGGCUACACACGUGCUACAAUGGCAUAUACAAAGAGAAGCGACCUCGCGAGAGCAAGCGGACCUCAUAAAGUAUGUCGUAGUCCGGAUUGGAGUCUGCAACUCGACUCCAUGAAGUCGGAAUCGCUAGUAAUCGUAGAUCAGAAUGCUACGGUGAAUACGUUCCCGGGCCUUGUACACACCGCCCGUCACACCAUGGGAGUGGGUUGCAAAAGAAGUAGGUAGCUUAACCUUCGGGAGGGCGCUUACCACUUUGUGAUUCAUGACUGGGGUGAAGUCGUAACAAGGUAAC